CUUUAACGGACACUUUCUAAACGGCAGCACUUGGAUGGCAGGGGAGGGAACGAGGAGCAUUCACAUUAAAGCCUAUAGUGAGGACAUUUCCACAUGUGAAGACGCUCUCCAUUCACAUAGUCUGACUACAAACCCACAGCGUCGUGCUCUUAUCUCACCGUCUGAUCCUCUGUCACUGCCUGGAUACACAGAGGAAGAACUCAUGGCCAACAACCACCUCAAAUUACCCAUCCCAGAGGUGAAUGAGGAGAUAUGCUGGAACCCACCAGGACAGAUGGCCAGCGAUAAGACACGCUCCAAUUCCACCAGUGUGUAUCAUAGUUUUCACUCCAAAGUAAAAUGACCAAUCAUCUAUCAUCCACCAAGAGGAGUGAGAAGCAUUACUUCUACUGCAUUUCACUUUGCAUCAGUGGAUGAGAGAAAGCCGCAGAAACAGGAGGAGGCUGGUACUGUCUGCAGACCGACAUCUAAAGGGUUUUAGAGUGUAGAGCAAUGACAGAUGGUG
rnacentral:lncRNA from 1 species